UACGCGGAAAACAACAAACGUGUUGUAGUUUACGACAGGGGGCGGUAGUGCGCUGUAAUUCAUUCUCACUCACAGGAGCAAAAGGACAGGAGGAGAAGAAAACACAAUGCUAAACAAAACAAAAAAUUAAAAUGGGUUCGGAGGAUGGAGUCUUUAAAUGCAAGUAAAAGCAGUUUUACAGCAAAAUGUAUAGGUUUAUGAGUACCCCCCUUUUUUAACCUUCCUCACUUCCCAAAACAUACCUCUGCAACAGUAAUGGCAUGCAGAUAUCAUACAACAAUAUCGUGAAUUUGUCAAUGGACUGAUGCCAACACGGCAGAUCUGAUUGUAUGGAGAGUCAGUAACAACAGUCUGUUUACAGGCAGGAGAAAUGAAGCCAUCAAAGCCUUUGAGCUGUAUGUAAAGGAGAAACACCUGGUGGGGAAAGUGACGCCUGCAUGGGUUUGAAAGAAGUGGGAGAAUCUAAAACAGAAGUAUAAGGUGAUGUCAUGCAAUUAUUUAGCUUGUUUGCGCAAGUCACAUGUCUGCAGAAAUCUAUCUAUACAGUAUAAAUAAUGCAUUUCUUUGCUUAAAGAUAAACAGUCAAACAUAAAUUAUGGGACUUUUUGUCAGGAUCUAUUCGUUUAUUCAAAUAUACAUUUCUGUGUUAUUGAACUGUGAAUAAAAAAUCAUUUUUAUGUUUUUUAGAGGCAUUAAGUCAAAGAUGCUAAAAUGUUUGCCAAGUCAUGUGCUGCAACCUACAUGCAGACAUACAUUUAUCAAAUAAAUAAUUAGUGUUGCUACUAACGAUUAUUUUGAUAAUGGAUAAUAAUAAUGGAUAAUAAUUCCACACUAUUAUGCUCAGUGUCCUACAAACAGAUGUGCCAACUGAAUGCUAUAAAAAAUACAGUGCUUAAUAAUUUAUAAGACCACCUUUCAUAAUAGAGAAAACACAAAUAUUUUAUCGAUUAGUU